rnacentral:rRNA from 1 species
CGAACGCUGGCGGCGUGCUUAACACAUGCAAGUCGAACGGAAAGGCCCUGCUUUUGUGGGGUGCUCGAGUGGCGAACGGGUGAGUAACACGUGAGUAACCUGCCCUUGACUUUGGGAUAACUUCAGGAAACUGGGGCUAAUACCGGAUAGGAGCUCCUGCUGCAUGGUGGGGGUUGGAAAGUUUCGGCGGUUGGGGAUGGACUCGCGGCUUAUCAGCUUGUUGGUGGGGUAGUGGCUUACCAAGGCUUUGACGGGUAGCCGGCCUGAGAGGGUGACCGGCCACAUUGGGACUGAGAUACGGCCCAGACUCCUACGGGAGGCAGCAGUGGGGAAUUUUGCACAAUGGGCGGAAGCCUGAUGCAGCAACGCCGCGUGCGGGAUGACGGCCUUCGGGUUGUAAACCGCUUUCGCCUGUGACGAAGCGUGAGUGACGGUAAUGGGUAAAGAAGCACCGGCUAACUACGUG